CCCAAUACACGGUCGACCUCUU
rnacentral:miRNA from 1 species